UGUGUACAAGUGUGUGUGUCAGUGUAUGUAUCUCUGCAUGUCUGCCAGUGUGUACAAGUGUGUGUGUCAGUGUAUGUAUCUCGGCAUGUCUGCCAGUGUGUACAAGUGUGUGUGUCAGUGUAUGUAUCUCUGCAUGUCUGCCAGUGUGUACAAGUGUGUGUGUCAGUGUAUGUAUCUCGGCAUGUCUGCCAGUGUGUACAAGUGUGUGUGUCAGUGUAUGUAUCUCGGCAUGUUUGCCAGUGUGUACAAGUGUGUGUGUCAGUGUAUGUAUCUCGGCAUGUCUGCCAGUGUGUACAAGUGUGUGUCAGUUUUAUCUUGAUGAAACAGGUACUACAUAACAUCUUUAUUUAAUGCUACUACUAAC